GGAAUUCAAGAUUACAGUGAGCUAUGAUCAUGCCACUGCACUCCAGCCUGGGUGACAGAGCCAGACUCCUGUCUUUUUAUUUUAUUUUUUCCUGCGAGACAAGGUCUCAUUCUGUCACCCAGACUGGGAUGCAGUGGUGCGAUCUCGGCUCACUGCAACCUCCACCUUCCAGGCUCAAGUAAUUGUCCCCUGUCAGCCUCCUGAGUAACUGGGACUACAGGCUUGCAUAUGCCCAGCUAAGUUGUUGUUGUUGUUGUUAUUGUUGUAGAGACAGAGUCUCACCAAGUUGCCCAGGCGGGUCUCAAACGCCUGGGCUCAAGCAAUCUGCCCACCUUGGCCUCCCAAAGUGCUAGGAUUACAGGUGUAAGCCACUGUGCCCGGCCUAGACGCCUGUCUUAAAAAAAACAAAAACAAAAAAGAAAUGCUGAAAUGGAAAAUACUCUUUGCUCCCAAUGGACUGUCUCUUCUAAGAGUGGGAGACAAGUAAACCUACAACUACAAUGGAACGCGAUAAGCUUGCUGAGAGAAGAGGCAUGGAGGGAGGGGGGGCACAGAAAAGGGGCACUUUAAGUCAGCUUAGGAUGGGGUAAAGAAUGAACAGUGUUGGCUGGGCACGGUGGCUCAUGCCUGUAAUUCCAGCACUUUGGGAGGCCGAGGCAGGCAGAUCACCUGAGGUCUGGAGUUCAAGACCAGCCUGACCAGCAUGGAGAAACCCUGUCUCUACUAAAAAUACAAAAUUAGCUGGGUGUGGUGGCACAUGCCUGUAAUCCCAUCUACUCUGGAGGCUGAGGCAGGAGAAUGGCUUGAACCCGGGAGGUGGAGGUUGCUGUGAGCCGAGAUUGCGCCAUUGCACUCCAGCCUGGGCAACAAGAGCGAAACUCCGUCUCAAAAAAAUAAAUAAAUAAAAAGAAUGAACAGUGUUGGCCGGGCGUGGUGACUCACACCUGUAAUCCCAGCACUUUGCAAUCCCAGCACUUUGGGAGGGUAAGGCAGGAGGAUCACUUGAGGCCAGGAGUUCAAGACCAGCCUGGGCAACAUAGCAAGACCAUGACUCUAGAACAAAACAAAAAAACAAAACAAAAAAAUACUGGGGCAUGGUGGCUUGCACCUGUAGUUUCAGCUACUGGGGAGGCUGAUGUGGAGGGACCACUUGAGUUCAAGGCUGUAGUGAGCUGCAAUUAUGCCACUGCACUCCAGCCUGGGCAACAGAGAGAGACCCUGCCUCAAAAAAAAAAAGAAAAGAAAAGAAAAGAAAAGAAAGAAAGAAAAAGGAAAAGAUAGUGUCAAGGAAGUCUUCCCAAAGAAGGUGACACUUAAGCUGAAUCUUGAGAUUGAUCGAGGGGGAGGGGGAGGGUGCUCCAGGCAGAGGCAGCAGGAAAUGCAUGGGCAGGGAGGCCGCCUCUAGCUAUAAUGGAUUUAUGAGCAAGGCAAAUGUCCUGCUUAAUGCCACAUUUUCCCAGAAUGCAUUUUUAGGAUUUGAGAGGUUUUCCAUGGUGGAUAGAAAGAACCAUGUGCGGGCCAGGCACGGUGGCUCAUGCCUGUAAUCCUGGCACUUUGGGAGGCCAAGAUGGGUGGAUCACUGGACGUCAGGAGUUUGAGACCAGCCUGGCCAACAUGAUGACGCCCCAUCUCUACUAAAAAUACAAAACUUAGGUGUGGUGAACCUGUAGUCCCAGCUACUUGGGAGGCUGAGGCAGGAGAAUCACUUGAACCUGGGAGGCAGUGGUUACAGUGAGCCAAGAUCGCACCACUGGACUCCAGCCUGGGCAACAGAGGGAGACCAUCUCAAAAAAAAAAACAACAAAAGAACCAUGUUCGAGCAGUGGAGACCUGCCUUGCACACUCCAGUAAAGCGCUUUGUUUCAGGCUGUGCUUUGAGGCAUCUUAACUAACCCCAGGUUUUACUUCGGCUCCCUUUGCUACAUAGCAAAACCACUUCCUAGGGGCUUAAAGUCAUUCAUUCCCAUCUGAUGAGCCCCCAGAUGCAGGGUGGACAAAAAACUUUAAUACUUUUUUUUUGAGACAAGGUCUCACUUUGUUGCCCAGGCUGCAGGCUGGAGUGCAGUGGCAUGAUCAUAGCUCACUGAAGCCUCAACCUGUUGGGCUCUGGUGAUCCUCCCACCUCAGCCUCCCAGUAGCUGGGACCACAGGCGUGUGCCACCACACCCAGUUGAUUUUUGUAGUUGUUGUAGAGACAGAGUUUUGCUAUGUUGCCCAGGCUGGUCUCCAACUCCUGAGCUCAAGCGAUCCUCCCGCCUUGGCUUCCCAAAGUGCUGGAAUUACAGGUGUGAGCCACCAUGCCUGACCUAACACCUACUUUUUGAUGCUGCUAAUCUGACAGUGAGGAGGAUGGAGUGGCCCUGCUCUGCUUUCUUGCCAUGGAGAGGCCGUGUCAUGAAGCCCUGUUUACAGACGUUUUGCUCCUGUCUGUAACACUACUUUGACAUAAGGCAUCACAAGGCAACUCACUGAAAAGCUGCUGGGGAUAGCAAACCAAGGUCUCAGGUUCACACUGGAAGCUGGACAGACCAUGAGCAUGACCCUGAAUAAUGCCAGUUUCUUUGAUCUGCAAAACAAUAUUUGGCUUUAUUGGGGUGUUUUCUAGAACAGAUAAUGUAGCACAGUGGAAAGAGCAUUGGACUUGGGCUAUGGGAUUUUGGGUUCAUCCUUUCAGUUUUCUAGGCUUUAGCUUCCUCAUCCUAAAAUGAAAGGGGAAGGAUUAGACGGUCCCUCGGAUCCCUUCCAGUUUUGGGACCUGUGGAUUUCGUGACUUGCUGUAAAAGCAGCAGAAGCUUUCAACUCUAGGCUCCCUCUGGGAAAUUUCCAUCUAGUGGGAUGCGUUUUCCUGGUGAAGGCUAAUACACGACUCUGAUUCUGUUCAAGUGGUCUGUGGAUCCAAAUGUUUUGCUGAGUCUGCAAAAUCAUCAAUAAUCCACAUGGAUGUGUGUGAGCUUUCCACACAGUCACUGCAUCCAGUGGUUUGCAAAUAACAGCCUCAAGGAUUCUGCAGAACUUGCAGCAAACUGAAGAUUAAAUUCCUCCUCAAGGCUUGGAAACAGACUGAAUACAGGCAUCCAGAGUCCUUGCUGCUUGGCAUCUCCAACACAUAUUUAAAUGCCCUAACAGGAGCAAAUCCAUAACAGUGCUGAAUGAAGGCAGGAGUCCCACACUCUGGGAGCAGCAAUCAGUGUCAAAAAUACAAUUUUGGGCCUGGACGCGGUGGCUGAUGGCUGUAAUCACAGCACUUUGAGAGGCUGAGGUGGGCAGAUCACUUGAGGUGAGGAGUUUGAGACCAGCCUGACCAACAUGGUGAAACCCCGUCUCCAUUAAAAAUACAAAAAUUAGGCUGGGCACAGUGGCUCAUGCCUGGAAUCCCAGCACUUUGGGAGGCCAAAGCGGGCGGAUCACCCGAGAUCAGGAGUUCAAGACCAGCCUGGCCAAAACGGUGAAACCCCGUCCCUAUUAAAAAUACAAAAAUUAGCCAGGCAUGGUGGUGAGCGCCUGCAAUCCCAGCUACUCGCAAGACUGAGGCAGGAGAAUCACUUGAACCCGGGAAGCAGAAGUUGCAGUGAGCCGAGACUGUGCCACUGCACUCCAGCCUGGGCGACAGAGUGAGACUCUGUCUCAAAAAACAAAACAAAAUAAAACAAAAAAAAAGAACCAAACAAAAAACAAACAAACAAAAAAACAACAACACAAAAAUUAGCUGGGCAUGGGGGCAUGUGCCUGUAGUCCCAGCUACACAGUUGGCUGGGGCAGAAUUGCUUGAACCCAGGAGGCAAAGGUUGCAGUGGGCCGAGAUUGAGUCCCUGCACUCCAGCCUGGGCGACACAGUAAUACCGUCUCAAACAAAACAAAAACAACAACUAUACAUACAUAUAUAUAUAAAUUUGGAUAGUGAUGGAAGUGUCAAAUAGCUUCAUAAAUACCAAAAAAACAAAACAAAACACACACACACACACUCAAGCCUCAAGCGGGCAUGGUGUCACAUGCUGUAAUCCCAGCACUUUGGGAGGCCGAGACGAGUGGAUCCCUUGAGGUCAGGAGUUCGAGACCAGCCUGGCCAAUAUGGUGAAACCCUGUCUCUACUAAAAAUACAACAAUUAAUCGGGCGUGGUGGUGUGCCAGUAAUCCCAGCUACUCAGGAGGCUGAGGCAGGAGAAUUGCUUGAACCCAGGAGGCGGAGGUUGCAGUGAGCCGAGAUCGCGCCACUGCACUCCAGCCUGGGUGACAGAGUGAGGCGCUGUCUCAAAAAAAAAAAAAAAAAAAAUUAGCCCAGCGUGGUGGUCUGCGCCUGUAGUUCCAACUGCUUGGGAGGCUAAGGUGGGAGGAUCGAUGCCCAGGAAGUUGAGGCUCCAAUGAGCUGAGAUCGAACUACUACACUCCAGCCUGGGUGACAGAAACCCUGUCCAAAAAAAAAAAGAAAAACCAAACCCAAGCCUCACCUCUGUCUUUAUAUAUGGGGGAUGAGACACCAUCCACACACUAAAUCAAUAUCAUGUCAUAAAAUACCAUAUGUACAGAAUGCCAGGUAACUUCUCUAGGCAGCCAGAUUUGCACAGCAAUCGCCAGAGUGCUGAAAUAAUAUAUGUGAAAUGUGUAAACUGUAAAGUGUUCUGCAAACAGACAUUGUGAUAUAAUCUCCUGGUGAUAUGUUAGUUACUGAUAAGGUCUCAUGAUGAUGGUGAAGAAGCCCUUUGCUGUUCUCAGAAGUCCUCACUGGUUAGAAAACCGUCAUAGAAAGAACUGGAACUCCAGAAUCAGAAACCAGGGUUUUGAGUUCUGGUAGAUCCUUCCUCUCACUGUUCUCAUGCCAAAGCCCUCUUCCAAGGAUGGCAAAAAUCCCAAGUGGCAGAAAUAAAAAUGAUUCUGUCUGUGUUACAGCCAAGCUAGUUCCCUAUGGGUGGAUGAGUCACAUGUGAGCAGAGCUGGGAGAACUACAUUUACAUUCCUUUACAUUUCCCUCUUUCCACCCUCCUUUCCACUGCCCUGUGUUGGCUCCUGUCGCUAUGACAAAAAACUUGCUCAAGAAACCCCAGCUUAGUUUCUCUAUGGGGAGGAAGGUGGCAAGCUACCUGGGUAGCUGUGGUUCUUGUUGGUGAAGCCCAUGGCCCAGUGGGGCGGUGUCUUUGUACAAAUCCACACACGUCCUCCCCUGUGCUCCAAAUUGUGAGUGCACAUCCCCAAAGACUUUUUUUUUUUUUUGAGACAGAGUUUUGCCCUUGUUGCCCAGGCUGGAAUGCAGUGGCACGAUCUCGGCUCAACCACAACCUCCGCCUCCCAGGUUCAAGCAAUUCUCCUGCCUCAGCCUCCUGAGUAGCUGGGAUUACAAGUAUGCACCACCACGUCCAGGUAAUUUUGUAUUUUUAGUAGAGAGGGGGUUUCACCAUGUUGGCCAGGCUGGUCUCGGGCUCCCGACCUCAAGUGAUCCACCCGCCUCGGCCUCCCAAAGUGCUGGGAUUACAGGCGUGGGCCACUGCGCCCGGCCUCCCCUUCAUACUUGACUAUCCCUGUGUCAUAAGGACUCAGAAUCUGAGGGUUUUGUCAUAAUUAUACACAGUCUAGAAGACCAAGCCACACUUGGGUUGGCAGCAUUUAAGCUGCUGGGUCAUCCUGCAAGGAGGCAUAUUUGUGAAACUGGAUGAAGAAAAAGUAGGAAAAGCUACCUACUUUUUAAGCUCAGGAAGCAUUUUAUAAGAUUUCCAAGGCUAACAGCUGCAGCCUCCUCUAGCUCCUCUAGCUGGGUUGACUGUAGUCCCUAAAAAGAUACGUCCAUAUCCUAAUCCCCAGAACCUGUGGAUGUUAUUCUAUGUGGAAAAAUGAUCUUUUUGGAUAUAAUUAAAGGUUUGUUUUUGGCAGGUGCAGUGGCUCAUGCCUGUAAUCUCAGCACUUUGGAAGGCCAAGGUGGGGGGAUCACCUGAGGUCAGGAGUUCCAGGCCAGUCUGCCCAACAUGAUGAAACCCUGUUGCUACUAAAAAUACAAAAAUUAGCCGGGUGUGGUGGUGGGCGCCUGUAACCCAGCUACUCGGGAGGCUGAGGCAGGAAAAUUCCUGGAACCCGGGAGUUGGAGGUUGCAGUAAACCGAGAUUGCGCCACUGCACUCCAGCCUGGGCUGGACAGAGCGAGACUCCAUCUCAAAAAAAAAAAAAAAAAAAAAAAGGUUUGUUUGAGACAGGAUCUCAAUCUGUCACCCAGGCUGGAGUGCAGUGGCGUGAACAUGGCUCACUGCAACCUUGAACUUCUGAGCUCAAUGGAUCCUCCUACCUCAGCCUCCUGAGUAGCUAAAACUACGGCCACAUGCCAUCACACCCAGCUAAUUUUUAUAUUUUUGUAGAGACAGUAUGUCACUGUGUUGCCCAGGCCAGUCUCCAAUUCCUGGGCUCAAGAGAUCUACCCAUCUCAGCUUCCCAAAGUGCUGGGAUCACAGGCUUGAGGCACUGCACCUAACCUAAUUCGGAAUUUUUAAGUGAGGUGAUCAUCCAGGAUUAUCCAGGUAGGACUUAAAUCCAAUGGCAAGUGUCCUAAUAAGAGUAAGGCACAUUGGCCAGGUGUGGUGGCUCACACUUGUAAUCCCAGCACUUUGGGAGGCUGAGGCAGGCGGAUCACUUGACCCCAGGAGUUCGAGACCAGCCUGGUUAACAUGCUGAAACCCUGUCUCUACUAAAAAUACAAAAAUUAGCUGGUUAUGGUGGUGCACACCUAUAAUCCCAGCCACUCAGGAGGCUGAGGCACAAGAAUUGCUUGAACCCAGGGAGCAGAGGUUGCAGUGAGCCAAGAUCGUACCACUGCACUCCAACCUGGGCGACAGAGCAAGACUUUGUCUCAAAAAAAAAAAAAAAAAAAAAAAGUGAAGCACAUACCAAAAAGAGUAAGGCAAGCCAGCGUGGUGGCCCAUGCCUAUUUUGCCAGUUACUUGGGAGGCUGAGGUGGGAGGAUCUCUUGAGCCCAGGAGUUCGAGACCAGCCUGGGCAACACAGUGAGACCCCAUCUCUAAAAACAAACAAAAGAGCGAAGGAGAAGGAGGUCAGAUACAGAGAAAUAGAUGCACAGAGGAGAAGAUCCUGGGAAAAUGGAGGCAGAGAUUGGAAUGACAGGCUGUAAACCAAGGGAUGCUAAAGAUUGCUGGCAGCCACAAAAGCUAGGAGAAAGGCAAGGAAAGAUUCGAGGCUUGGUGCAGUGGCUCAUGCCUGUAAUCCCAGCACUUUAGGAGGCUGAGGCUGGAGGAUCACUUGAGGCCAGGAAGUUCAAGACCAUCCUGGUUAACAUCUCUACAAAAACUAAAAAAAAAAAAAUUAGCCAGGCAUGGCAGUGCAUACCUGUACUCUCAGCUACUGGGGACGCUGAAGAAGGAGGAUCCCUUGAAUUUGAGGCUUCAGUCAGCUGUGAUCAUGCCACUGCACUCCAGCCUAGAUGACAGAACAAGACUCCAUCUCAAAAAAAAAAAAAAAAAAAAUUUUACCCCGGAGCCUGGGGAGUGUGGCCCUGCCAACACUUUAAUUUUGGAUUUCUGGCCUCCAGAACUGUGAGAGAAUAUAUUUCUGUCAUUUGAAGCCACUCAUUUACAGUAACUGGUUACAGCCACCCUGGGAAACGAAUACACCUGGUCUCUGCUGUGGUGCUCAGUGUUACCAACCGGUCCUCACUUUCCCAGUUCUUAGCUGUGUCCCUCUGCAAAUCUUAGCACCUCUCUGAUUUUCAGUCUCCUCCUUUGUAAAACGGGAAGAGUAAGUCCUACUCUGCCAGGUUGUUGUGAGGCCAUGGUGACAGAGUGCUGAGCGGAAUGCCAGGUGUACCACAGACGCAACUUACGCAUGAGUUCCCAUCCUCCCCCUUCUCCACCCUGGUCCAACCUCACCUUGGGCACAGAGCUCCCAUUGCAAGGCUGAGGAGCAGGGUUCCUAUACCUUUUCCUGGGACUCGGGUUCAUUGGUGAUGUCCAGAAUAGUGCAUGACCCUGCCUUCUUGACAAAUCCUCCCAGACAUCUCAUCAGCAUCUCAAAUCCAAUGUGUCCAAAGGUGAACUCUUGAUCUUUCCUUCUUUUUCUGUCUCUUUCACAGUUUACCUCAUCUCAAUAAAUGGUAUUUCCAGGUAGCUAAACAUCUGGACGUCAUUUUUGCUUUCUUUUUUCUUUUCUUUUUUUUUUUUUGAGACAGAGUCUCACUCUGUUGCCUGGGCUGGAGUGCAGUGGCAUGAUCUUUGCUCAUUGCAACCUCCAUCUCCUGGGUUUAAGCGAUUCUCCUGCCUCAGCCUCCAAGUAGCUGGGAUUACAGGCAUGCGCCACCACACCCAGCUAAUUUUUUUUUUUUGAGAUGGAGUCUUGCUCUGUUGCCCAGGCUGGAGUGCAAUGGCGCAAUCUUGGCUCACUGCAAACUCCGCGUCCUGGGUUCAAGCAAUUCUCCUGCCUCAGCCUCCUGAGUAGCUGGGAUUACAGGCGCAUGCCACCAUGCCAAACUAAAUUUUGUAAUUUUAGUAGAGACGGGAUUUCAUCAUGUUGGUCAGGCUGGCCUUGAACUCCUGACCUCAUGAUCUUCCCGCCUCAGCCUCCAAAAGUGCUGGGAUUACAGGCAUGAGCCACUGUGCCCGGCCGUGAUGAUGGUGUUGUGUUUUGUUUUUUGUUUUUUUUUUUGAGACGGAGUCUUACUCUGUCGCCCAGGCUGGAGUGCAGUGGUGUGAUUUCAGCUCACUGCAACCUCCGCCCCUGAGUUCAAGCGAUUCUCCUGCCUCAGCCUGCCGAGUAGCUGGGAUUACAGGCACCUGCCACCGUGCCUGGCUAAUUUUUGUGUUUUUAGUAGAGACGGGGUUUCACCAUCUUGGCCAGGCUAGUCUUGAACUGCUGACCUCAUGACCCACCUGCCUCGGCCUCCCUGGGAUUAUAGGCGUGAGCCACCAUGCCCGGCUGUGAUGAUGUUUUUCUCUUGGUUUAUCAUGGCCACAGAGUAGCCUUGUCUGGUGUUCAUGUAUUGUGAAAUUAUUUACUUCAGUGGAACAUCAAGGCCUAGCUGAUAGUACCAGGCCCACUACCACAUGCCAGGGCUUCAUUUCCUUUCUCAGAACUCACACCCGUUCCCAAAUGUUACCAAGCUGUUCCUUGCCUAAGAGGCUCUUUUCCAUUCCCCAGCCAAACACUACUUUUUUCAAGUCAAACUGCACAAAAUUCCAUCUCUCCUGUGAGGUCUUCCCAAAGACAGUGAAACCACCUUUGCAAUAUUAUAACUGAUACAGUGAAAGUGAUCUAACUUAACCAACUCCAUCUUGUUUUUAACCUCCAAGCUGUCCUUGUUCAUUCCUGGGCGUAGGCUGAACUAACUUUGGGAGAAAUUUAUUUAUAAUUUACAGUGAAACAAAGACAAUGGCUGGGCACAGUGGCUCAUGCCUGUAAUCCCAGCACUUUGAGAGGCCGAGGUGGGUGGAUCACUUGAGGUCAGGAGUUCGAGACCAAUCUGACCAAUAUGGUGAAACCCCGUUUCUACUAAAAAUACAAAAAUCAGCUGAGCAUGGUGGCGUGUGACUGUAGUCCUAGCUACCAGGGAGGCUGAGACAGGAGAAUUGCUUGAACCCAGAAGGCAGAGAUUGCACCGCUGCACUCCAGCCUAGGCAACAGAGAGAGACUCUGUCUCGAAAAUAAAUACAUACGUACAUACAUACAAUACAUAAAACAAAGACGAUAACAGCCCUUUCCCAAAGCAGACCAUCUUCCUUCUUGCCUAGGGACUAGGUUGCCUCUGUAGGACUAACAUUAGCUGCAAGAUUAUAAAUAAUUAUGGUUUAGGAGUCAUGCAGCUGGAGGAUACAAGAUUCUGACCCUCCCUAAACUGCUCCUAAGAUCAGUGCUUGAGAUAUUUUGCAGACCCUGCACUUGAUGGAUCAGCUGGCCCCACCCAGGUCGAUAAACUGGCUCACCUGAUCUUGUGGCCCCCAUCCAGGAACUGACUCAGAGCAAGAAGACAACAUCGACGGCCUAUGAUUUCAUCCCUGACCAGUCAGCACUCCUGGCUCACUGGCUUCCCCCAAAUCACCAAGUUAUUCUUAAAAACUCUGCUCCCCGACUGGGCAUGGUGGCUCAUGCCUGUAAUCCCAGCACUUUGGGAGGCAGAGGCGGGUGGAUCACCUGAGGUCAGGAGUUCGAGACCAGCCUGGCCAACAUGGUGAAACCCCGUCUCUACUAAAAAUACAAAAUUAGCUGGGCAUGGUGGCGCAUGCCUGUAAUCCCAGCUACUCUGGGUGCUGAGGCAGAAUUCCCUGAGCCCAGGAGGUGGAGACCGCAGUGAGCUGAGAUUGCGCCACCACACUCCAGCCUAGGUGGCAGAGCGAGACUCCGUCUCAGAACAAAACAAAACAAAAAACCAAAACACCACCACCAACAACAAAAACUCUGCUCCCCCAAUGCUUGGGGAAACUGACUUGAGUAAUAAUAAAACUCCGGUAUCCUGCACAGCUGGCUCUGCGUGAAUUACUCUUUCUCUGUUGCAAUUCCCCUGUCUUGAUGAGUUGGCUCAGGCAAAGUGAACCCCUUGGGUCGUUACAACAGUACUACUGUCUCCAUAGAAUUAGCUUUCCUGAGUGCAUCCAAAAAUCUUAAUUGGUGACCAGGCAUGGUAGUUCAUGCCUGUAAUCAAAGCAAUUUGGGAAGCUGAGGCUAGAGGAUGGCUUGAGCCCAGGAGUUCAAGGCCAGUCUGGGCAACAUAGUGAGACCUUGUCUCUAUAAAACCAAAAACCAAAAACCUUGGUGGGCAUAGCAUACUUAGUCUUCAAAUGUGUACCUACCUUGAAGUAUUUUACUUGUUUCACAUAUAUUUUUAUUCAGUUCCCAGUAGGUUGUAAAUCUUUUAGAGGCAAAGUCCAUUUCUUACACUUCAAUAUCCCCUGCAACUGAGCACCCUGCUGAAGGACAGGUUGGUCUUAGUUGGCAUGUUGGUUGGUCUGAAUAAGGGGAGGGGGCGAACAGUUUGCUUCUGCAACACAGCUCUGAAAACACAGCUCUAGGCUAGCAGGGGAGAAGCUCCCAGCUUGCCCCUUUCCCAGGCAAAACCAUUUCUUUUUUUUAAUUUUUAAUUUUUUAUUUUUUGAGACAGAGUCUUACUCUGUCGUCCAGGCUGGAGUGCAGUGAUGUGAUCUCAGCCUUUUUGUGUUUUUUUUUCUUUUUUUUGAGACGGAGUCUCACUCUGUCACCCAGGCUGGAGUGCAGUGGCGCGAUCUCGGCUCACUGUAAGCU
rnacentral:lncRNA from 1 species